GAUACAGAAAUGCCUGGUAAGCCCUAGCUUGUUCUCACUCUCCUGUCUUCCAGGCCCAGAUCUUUAGCUAUGACCUUGUAGAGGUGAUAGUUAUGUAGAGGCAAUAGCUCUCCAUAGACCUCUCCAUGAGCUUUAUUCAUGGUCCCCUUCAGUGGCUGUAAAUUCUUGGCUUCUCAGUGUCCAUGCAAGCUGCAAUUUGUCCAGUUAAGUUAGUCCAUCUGGAGGACUAAGUGGGGACCCUGCCCCAACUACCAAGCCAGAUCUUCAUUUUUCCCAGCACCCCCCAUAUUUGUGUAAAGUCUAAUUCCUACAAUAUUCGUCUUAUCCCCAUAAUAAUCAGAGGGGUUCUGUUGAACCCAGAUGGCUAUAUUUUUUGCUCAAAGUCUGACUAAUUACUUAGGCAUCUUCCAACCACAUAGUGUACAAUUAGUGACCCCUCUGGCUCCAGCACUCUUUAUUCUCUUUACUAUGCCUUACUUUUUUACUUAUUUACUUGUGUAUUUCUUUUCUGUGUCUUUCUUUCUGACUAGAGUGUAAGCUCCAUGAGGGCAGACACUUUGCCUGUUAUGUUCACUGCUGUAUCCCUAGUGCCUAGCACAGUGUAGGUGCCCAAUAAAUAUUUUGAGUGAAUGAGUUUAUUACUUUCAUUUGUCUUAUGUUAAAUAGGAUUUUAUUAAAAACAUUUCUGCUACUAAAAAAGUUUGAAAUUGCUGUAUUGGACUUUGUUUAAGGAACUGGGAGUAUAGAGAUGAACAUUGUUUAUGGGCACAUAGUAGGUGUUUAAUGAAUAUUUGUUACAUGAACAUGAAUAAAUUAAUGAGUGAAUGAAUAAAUAGCUUUUACUUAAAGGAGCUCACAGUAUCCCCGAUGUUGUUGGGGAAUAGGGCAUAAAAAUGAAAGAUACCAGAGGUUCACAAAAUACAUUUUGAUUAAAUGUCACAUGGCCAAAUGUCAAAAUCAAUAUCAGCUUAAAGCUUACUAGUAUUGUCACAGAAGAGGAAAUUCUGAAAGGCAAAGUUUUAAAUAUCAUUAAAAAUUAUGACCCAUUUAUUAUUAAAUUUUUUGGUAAUUAAACUUUAAAUGUUUGAUAACUAAAGGUAAAAACAAUAAUUUCUCAGCCCUUCCAAUUGUCCUAAUUUUACUUAAACUUCUAGAAAAGUUUUAGGUUAAAAAACUGUAACAUGCCUUUCCUAAAACUAACUAAAGGACUCUCAAUACUCACAGUAUACAUCAAUAUAAUUUCCCUUUAUACAUACUUGAAAAUUUGAAAAGAUACGAAUAGCUUUUAUAGUAAACCUUGACUUGCCAUAUUUACUUUUACAGUAAUAAUUAUACCGACAUAUUGAUAGAUUGUCACAUCAAGCGCAGUAGAUUUUGUUUUACUUCUAAGUUACAUCUAGAAUGGUUAUCAGUAUUUGAAAAUGGUUAACCAGAUAUUAAAAAUUAAUGCAAAAGACUUGCCCUGUUGGAAUUAGCAAUGUUAGCAGAUAAGAUAUUGGCUUACACAGUCAUGCAAUCAUGUGCAAGUUCAGGAUACCAGAGGUGAUAUCGAGUCAAAACCCAAGGGCAGGGCUGGGGCUGAAAGAAAUAUUUGCACCAAAGCCUGAGGCAGAAGCUAAGCUUUCAUGCCUUCCUAGAUAAUACCUUUCAUUUUUAUAGCAUUUUGCAUUUUUGAGAGCUUUUUUUCUGCAAACUCUCAUCUUCUCAACCACAGUUUUGGGGGAGAAUGUAGACAGGGUAGCUAUCAUUUAAGUCAUGUGAUGAAUGAGGAGACUGAGGUUCAGAGACUUGAGGUGACUUGAUGUGGUAGGAGGGACCUGAGCUGGUUUUCUGACAGUAUUUUCUGGGUUCUUUGUUCCAAUGUCCUGUGUUGAGGGGCCCUUCACUAUCUUAACCAGGGUUCUCUGGAAAGCAGAACCUAAAACAAAGACUUGUGUGCAGGUAAUUUAUUUGGAAAUGAUCUUAGGAAAGAGUUAGGAAUGAGGGGCUAAGGAGAGAGAUGGGGAAGGAGAAAGCCAUUAAGCUCGCCACUGCUUUGGAUGGCUAGCAAUGGACCCCAUGAGACUUUGGGGUCAAUUCUCCAAACUUCCAAGGGGGAUGCAAGGCAGAAACAUGGAAAUACUAGAUCAGAGUGGCCCUAUAGGUUUCAGCCUUCACCCCUUCGUUCUGGGUUGCACAUAUGAGAAUGUCCAGGGCAUCCCAUGGAUUCCCCAUGACAAGGUGGCAGAGAAGCUCCUGGGACAGGAAGUAAGCACUAUGGCAGAGGAUUGAUUCUACUGCCACUGUACCUGGGUAAGAAUGCUGGCACUGCCAUCUGUGUAACCUUGGGCAAGAUAUUUAACCUCUCUGUGCCUUUCUUUGUAUGGAAAAUGGGAUGAGAGUAACAGUCAUUGCGUCAUAGGGUUUUCCUGACUUAACACAUUAAAAAUGCUUAGACCAAUGCUUGGCUCAAGGGAAAAUGCUUGCUGAGCAUUAGACACCAUUGCUGGGUUUCUCAAAGUUUGGGUUUAGGACCUAAACUUGAUGUUGGAAGCAACUGGCAGCCCCUCAUGUGUUGAGCAUAGGCUGAUGUGAUCAGAGCCUAGUUUUAGGAUGGUUAACCUGCCAGCCUGUUUUGGACAUAGCCAGAGGCUCCUGAAGUGAAAGCAGGGGAUUGUAUGUCGAGGUAUGCAGGAUCUAACAAAUCCCAUGUUCACAGGUUUAGCUAACUGAUGACCAAGUUCUCUAAGGAUCCACAGGGAGAUGAAGAAGAAUUCCUUGACAUUGCCUACCUUCCCUCAGUCCUCAAGGAUUCUGAUAUCAGACAACAGCAUCUCAUGCUCUAGGGAUUGGGAAACAAAAUGAAGCCUGCUGUUCACGUUAUUUAGUGAUUAACAUGGUUGAAGGAACACAGGUUUAGGCUUCUAGAUCAGCAUUUGUGUCUUGGCUUUGGUUGCCUUUGGCAAGUUCUUUAUCUCGCUGAGAUUUAUGAAGGUUAUUUUCUAUAAAAUAGGGAAAACGUGUUGACGUCUUAGUAUUUUUGAAGAAUUAAUGAGGCAGUCCUGUACAGACCCUGGUACAAGGUGGAACUAUCAGUAGGCUUUCAGCAGUGUUUUAAAGUGAGUAUAACGUGCCUUUUAUUACUAUUGUUAUCAUUACUUUAUAGGGUUUCGUAAGGGGUAAAAAGAUGAGGUAUAUAAACCGCCUAGGAUGAUUUGUAUUCGGUGUCUUGUAUAUAGUAGGCUCUUAAUAAAUAACAGUUUUCAUCUGUCUUAUCCUCCCAUUGGGCUGCUUGCCUUUGCUCCAGGGUCUGUGCUGUUGCCAAUGUCAGGCAAGGCUUAUCAACCCCAUCUAUCUCUAGCUCAUUGUCCAAGAGAGUGUGCAUUUUCUUUGCUUUUGGUUUUCUAAUGCCCAGGAUGACUUCCCCCAAGCAGUGUCAACAGCCCCUUUGAGGUUUCCACUGGCUUGGCAGCGGCACUGCCUCUUAUUCUCAGUGAUGUACACAUCAGCAGCUGCAGUUUCUCAUGGACGCAAGCCUGUGUGAUCUCAGCUGGACAUGCUACCUCUGACCAUUUCCCUGGCCUGUCUCAGGACUCUUGGGACAGAAUCAACUUUGUUGCAGAGUCUUUGCUGAAGCUCUGAAGAGUUGCCCAGUUUAAGGAUAAAGCGCAUUUUCUAUCCAAAAUUGAGGACUGGCUUUAAGCACCUCUCUCAACUUUUGUGUAUGGCUUUAUGUUUGUAAAAGUCCCUUCCCAUCAUUUAUCAUCUGUGCAAGCACAACUGUUUAUAUAAAAUAUAUAUAGCUGCUAACAAAUGCCCCGUAUUGGAAUGCACAGUUCUGUGUUAAACUAAUCUGCUCCUCCAAAAAGGAUCUUGCAAAUUCACUCACCAGAUUUAUAUUGAGGAGUUGACUGAAAUCAGUUGAGGCACUGAGGACACAGGCUACCAGAGAGGUUAGUGCAAGAAAGGCCAGUUCUCGAAGGAAAAGUUUUGCUAGGUUAGUCUUUUGCUUGACAAAUAUUUAUUGAGCAACUAUUACAUGCCAGGCAUUUCUUCUAGGUGCUAAAGGUAAAAUAGGGAACAAAUAGACAAAAAUUUUUGCCCCAGUGGAGCUUCCAUCCUAGAAGCGGAGGCAGAAAUGAAACUAAGUAAGUAAAAUAUGUAAUGUGUUAGAUACUAGUAAGUGUUAAGGAAACAAAGGGUUAUAAAUUGCUGGAGCCAUGGGUGUUGGGGAUGGCUGUAGUGGUGGUAAGGACUGAAAUUUAUCGAUCACUCUGUUGGAUGUGGUCACUGCCCUCAUGGGAGUGUGGUGGGAGGUGUGGGCUGCCCACCAAAAUGUCUUCUUUCCUUCUUCUACGGUGAUAUGACCACAGUUGGGACAGAUGUGGGUUGCAAGCCAGGCUCUGUAUUUUGCAGCCCCAUCUUGGAAUUAGAUGUGGCCAUGGGGUUCAGUUCCCUCAGUGCAAUUCGACAAGUGGCUUCAGCCACACCACAGGGGCUACCUCCUUCACAUAUGCCCCUUCCCUGCCUUCCCCUGGGCUUGAGUGAUGAACACCAGGGCCACCUGCAAAGGCAGGCUUGGCAGAUGCCAGAUCCAAGGUCAGCCCAAGUCCUUAAAUGACCAUAGGAGGACAGCUGCCCACUGACCUGCGAUACCCACUCUGGACCAUUAGUGAGAAAGAAACAUCUUGUUAGUAACAUUCUAUUGUGGGGGUUCUAGUUGCCAGGGCAGUUUAACACUAACAAAUAUAUGGAGCACUCCUAUAAUGUAUCUUUGAAGGUAAUAACAUGAUUGAUUGCUAUAUUUCAGUCACAUGGAAAAAAAGAGCUAUGAUAGCAGAGAAGGGGAUUGCCUAAUUCUUUCAGCUUGGGCGGAUUAGGGUCAAAUUGGGAAAGGUAUGACAAAGGAGAUGAUAUUUGAGCUGAAUUGAAAAGAAUGAACAAGAUUUCAUUUCAGGGAGGAAAAGGAAAAAGUGCACUGCAAAUUCAAGUCAGAGUCUGAAUAAAAGCUCAGAGGCAUGAAAGUGUCUAUUUUGUGUUAUCUCUGUGUGUGUGCUGCUAGUCUUUGUAAGUUUUUUUUUUUUUUUUUUUUUUUUUUUUUUGUCUUUUUAGGGCCAUACCCACGGUAUAUGGAAGUUCGAUCCCUGGCCUCACUUAGUGGGUUAAGGACCUGGUGUUGCUGUGAGCUGUGGUGUAAUUUGCAGAUGCGGCUUGGAUCCAGCAUUUCUGUGGUUGUGCUGUAGGCUUGUGGUUACAGCUCCAGCUUGGACCCCUAGCCUGGGAACCUCCAUAUGCCAUGCAUGUGGCCAUAAAAAGACAAACAAAAAACAAAACCCCAAAAAACCUGACAUAGUUUCUGUGAGGAUGUGG
rnacentral:lncRNA from 1 species